UCUAUGGAUUAUGAAGCUCGUUACAACACCGUAGCAACACUCCGUUAUUAAUAUGAUGGAUCCACUCGAUUUCCAAUAGUUUUUGCACGUCCAACGGUGAUUAAACCCGAGUGCAAGGAUGAAUGCAUAAGUCUUACUGCAGAUGAUUCCUGGCCCUCAGAUAUUUUCUUCUCUCUGCACGAUACCACAUUUCAUCACUAUUUCUUUCCGCGUAACAGAUCACUCUGUCUCUCUCUCUGCGCAACUUUCAUGUCGCUGCAUUGGCUUAUGCAGUUAUGAAUUGUAUGCAGCGCUCGGUGUAUUUCCGCUACUCUGAUGUCUUGAAAAGAACGAUUGCUAUUAACUAUGGCGUACAACCUAAGGCGCUUCUGAAGUGGAUGAGGUGAGGGUUUGGAGACAAAGCGCAUCUUUUCAUGCAAUAUCUGUUAUCGGAUUUUCAAACCUUAUUAAACCGUCCACUUGGCCUUUUCAGCAACUUCAAAUGACUUAAGGUAUCAAUCUUUUACAUUGUCUUCUUUUAGGUAUUGGUGAUUUCGUUGCAUAGGUUGCUGAUUGUGAAACAGCAGAAUGGAGAUAUAUUUACAUGCCUGUUAAGUUCUAAGCUGUAGUAUAAGGGGCGUCGUGUCUCGCAUAAGGUAUUCGGAACCUAUUCUGUGAUUUUCUCGGUAGAUACUGAUCACUAUUUCGGAAGGGUGCUGUUUUUUAAGAGUUCUAGCUUAUAGGUGAAUACUGAAUAUGGGAAAAUUUUUGACUUGUUCUUUUAUAGUUAGUAUGAAAAGUUCAAGAGUUUGCUGGCUCGGUUGUGGGGUGUUUUUUUUCACCCUUUCAGCUUUAGGGAUGGAUUUUGAUCGAUUGAGACUAUGGGAUAUAUUCUGUCUUUAUUGCAUUCCAAGUCAGACAUGAGCAUUUGCUUUCUGGCUUGGUGAUUGCUCUGGGAAGUUUCUUUGAAAUUAGUUUCAUGUUUUGUUAUAGAGAAUUCCUUCUAGCCGGUUCGGCUAAUUUUCCCUAUAAAACAGCCUGCCAUUAGUUUUUAGACACGUAGGCUUUCCACCACAGUUAGUGUGAAACACACUACAUGGAAUCUUCAACUACACAGCCCCCCUUCCCCUGCGCGAAAUCGUCCCCCUCCCCUUCGCAACAGCUCACAGUGCCCCCUCUCCCCUCCCCCUGCGAGAAACAACACCCCCUCCCCCUUGGCAGCAGACAUCAUCUGAGAACAACAGUUUGUGCGGCAGUUCAUACAGAGAAGGAGAAGCGUGUAGCAGCUUACCCAAAGAGGAGGCCAUGGGGGCAAGUUCCAGCGUAGCUUACCGAGAGAAAUACAGCGGCGUGACUGGGAGCUGAACUACGGCGACGUAGAUGAGUUGAAGGUGGCGUGCGACGGCUGAAAUCUGGGCAGUGAAAACAGAUAGAGAGAGAGUGGGUGAUGAGAGAGAUAGAGAGAGAAACUGACUGAGAGGUUGAUGGUAGUACUUACCGAAGGAGAAGAAGGCAUGCGGCAUCGCUGGACUGAGGAGUCGCUGCUGUGGAAGAGUAGGCAGCGCGAUGGUGGUCGAAGGAGGAGGUGGCUGCAGCUAGUGGCUCACGGAAGCUCUGUUUUUUAGCAGCAAAACAGAGGUUCAAUACGUCCUGCAGAUGGUGGCUGGGUGACAUGAAGUCACGGCGGCACUACAUCGGCAUCUUCUGGUCAGAAUCUCACGAGGUGGUGCGGCGAAGGUGGCUACAGUGGCUGACGACUUGAAGAACACGAGAGGAGAACAAGGGACAAAGGUGGAGAUCUGUUCUGUGGUUCACAAUUGAUCUGGCUGGCGCGAAGCAGUUAGAGUUGCCGAGAUGCCAUGCAUGGCUGGACAGCGAGCUCACAGUGGAAAACUAGUUCUGGUGGGUAAGUCGCGACAUCGGAAUGGUGGUGGUGGACUGUUGGAGGUGGACUGGUGGGUAAGUCACGGUUUCUCAGUUUCUAGUUUUCUCUUCUUUUCUCUCUCCUUUUCUAUCACAUGUGACCGAGUGCAGAUGUUUUUUGAUGUAAUUCUUGAUGUGUCGUGAUUUUAAUAGAAGGCUGUUAAUAGCCUAAUAUCAGCCAGAUUGCUUAGAAGUGGCUUUCUUUGUUA